rnacentral:rRNA from 1 species
AUUGAACGCUGGCGGCAGGCCUAACACAUGCAAGUCGAGCGGCAGCGGGAAAGUAGCUUGCUACUUUUGCCGGCGAGCGGCGGACGGGUGAGUAAUGCCUGGGAAAUUGCCCAGUCGAGGGGGAUAACAGUUGGAAACGACUGCUAAUACCGCAUACGCCCUACGGGGGAAAGCAGGGGACCUUCGGGCCUUGCGCGAUUGGAUAUGCCCAGGUGGGAUUAGCUAGUUGGUGAGGUAAUGGCUCACCAAGGCGACGAUCCCGAGCUGGUCUGAGAGGAUGAUCAGCCACACUGGAACUGAGACACGGUCCAGACUCCUACGGGAGGCAGCAGUGGGGAAUAUUGCACAAUGGGGGAAACCCUGAUGCAGCCAUGCCGCGUGUGUGAAGAGGGCCUUCGGGUUGUAAAGCACUUUCAGCGAGGAGGAAAGGUUGAUGCCUAAUACGUAUCAACUGUGACGUUACUCGCAGAAGAAGCACCGGCUAACUCCGUGCCAGCAGCCGCCGUAACAC